rnacentral:rRNA from 1 species
UUUUUAUGAGAGUUUGAUCCUGGCUCAGGACGAACGCUGGCGGCGUGCCUAAUACAUGCAAGUCGUACGCUUCUUUUUCCACCGGAGCUUGCUCCACCGGA